rnacentral:lncRNA from 1 species
UCGUUUCCGAUGGGUUGCGAGUGGUCUCAUCAUUGUUUAUUUGUUGUUGUUGAAGGCGAGCGUUAGAGGGUUUCGUCAGAAUAUGUACACAAGAAGAAGAAAGCUUUUCCUCAACUUUUGUUUAUAUUACGAUUGGUAGUUUUUACUUCUUUCUAUUAUUUUCAAAUUCCAUCAAUAUGGAUGAAGUAUGAGAGGGUUUCAUGUGUAUGUGAGUUUGGAAGGUGAGAGAUUGUUUUUCUUGUUGUGUAAUGUGAGUUGUGUUAAAAUGUGUUGUUU